GCCUCGGUAGCUCAAUGGCAGAGCAGCUGAUUUGUAAUCAGCAGGUUGUGGGUUCAACUCCCUCCCGGGGCUCCA
rnacentral:tRNA from 2 species